rnacentral:rRNA from 1 species
AUGGCCACCCGUGUCCGUGUGCAAGCACUAGCUCUUCUUCCCCUGUUCCUUCUCUUCUCCCCUGUGCCCGCAGCUGAUAGCAUCAGCGCAGCCUCUCCCGUCGCCGAUGGCCAGACGCUCGUUUCUGCCGGUGGGGUCUUCGAGCUUGGAUUCUUCACCCCGCCGGCCUCGAUGGCGAGGUUCUUGGGCAUCUGGUACAAGGGUAUCGCUCCUCUUACUGUUGUCUGGGUGGCCAACCGGGAAGCUCCCAUCACCGCCGGCACCACCGCGAGCUUGGCCAUCAACGGCACCGGCAGCCUGGUUCUCGCCGACCAGUCGGGACGCGAGUUCUGGUCGUCGCCGCCGUCAAACGUAACCAGCAGCACCCCGGUGGCCCAGCUCAUGGACAGCGGCAACUUCCUGCUUCAGGACGCCAAUGGCACGGGGCCGGUUCUGUGGCAGAGCUUCGACUACCCGUCCGACACUCUGCUCCCGGGCAUGAAGCUCGGGUGGCACCUCACCACGGGGCUCAACCGGUACCUGACGACGUGGGCGAGCCCCGGCGACCCGUCGCCUGGCGACUACACGUUCGCGAUCGGCAUCCGCGGCGUGCCGGAGGGGUUCAUCAGGUACAACGGCACGGCGCCGGUGUACCGGAACGGGCCGUGGAACGGCCUGCGGUUCAGCGGCGAGCCGGAGAUGGCGCCGGACAACGGCAACUUCCGGUUCGAGUUCGUGGCCAACGGCACCGACGCCUACUACACGUUCCUGGUAGACGGCAGCGGCGGCGACGUGGUCUCGAGGUUCGUGCUGAACCAGUCGAGCCUGCAGCGCUACGUGUGGCUGCAGCAGCAGCAGGCGUGGAGCCUCUACUGGGCGCUGCCCCGGGACCAGUGCGACCGCUACGCGCAGUGCGGCGCCUACGGCGUCUGCGACGCGAGCGCCUCGCCGAUGUGCGGCUGCCCCGCCGGGUUCGCGCCGGCCUCGCCGCGGGAGUGGGCGCUGAGGGACGGCUCGGCCGGGUGCGCGCGCAGGACGCGGCUCAACUGCACCGGGGACGGCUUCCUGCCGCUGCGGGGCGUCAAGCUGCCCGACGCCACGAACGCGACGGCGGACGCCAGCGUCAGCCUCGAUCAGUGCCGGCAGCGGUGCCUGGCGAACUGUUCUUGCCUGGCCUACUCUGCGUCGAGCAUCAAGGGGGGCGAGAGCGGCUGCAUCAUGUGGAGCUCGUCGUUGAUCGACGUCAGGCAGUUUGAUUCCGGCGGGCAGAACCUGUUCGUUCGUCUCGCGGCGUCCGAUUUACCUUCCAAUGGAGACAAUCCCAGCAGGAGAAACACAGCAAUUGCUAUUGGCCUCAGCUUAUCCGGUCUUCUUCUUUUCGGCCUCAGCGUAUUCUUUAUGUGGACUAAGUUCUUCACAAGAAAAGGGAGGUACCAGAGCACACGACGGCUCACCUCAUUCGACUCGAGCAACCCUCUCGCUCCGGUCCAAGACAGGAGCAUGGAAGACGAGUCGAGUCAGAGCAAAGGACUACAUGAUGUCACUCUCUUUGACAUGGCCAUGAUUGCCUCCUCCACCGACAACUUCGCGGCGUCGGCCAAGCUCGGCGAAGGCGGUUUCGGCGCGGUCUACAAGGGUGAGCUUGGGGGAGGGCAGAAGGUGGCGGUGAAACGGCUGUCCAAGUACUCGACGCAGGGGCUGGACGAGUUCAAGAACGAGGUGGUGCUCAUCGCCAAGCUCCAGCACGUGAACCUGGUCAGGCUCUUGGGCUGCUGCGUCCAUGGAGAGGAGAGGAUCUUGGUGUACGAGUACAUGGAGAACAAGAGCCUGGACACGCUGCUCUUCGAUAAGGCUCGAUCGGCGCAACUGGAUUGGUCGAAGCGGUUUGACAUCGUACUGGGCGUCGCACGGGGGCUCCUGUACCUGCACCAGGACUCGAGGUUCAAGGUCAUCCACCGGGACCUCAAGGCCGGCAACGUCCUCCUCGACGGGGACAUGAACCCCAAGAUCUCCGACUUCGGCGUCGCCAGGAUCUUCGGCGGCGACGGCGCCGACUCACACACCCGAAGGGUCGUCGGGACAUACGGGUACAUGUCCCCCGAGUACGCCAUGGACGGCGUCUUCUCGGUCAAGUCCGACGUGUUCAGCUUCGGCGUGCUGGUGCUGGAGAUCGUCAGCGGCAGGAAGAACCGGGGAAUGUGCAGCAGCGGCGAGCAGACGAGCCUGCUCGGCCACGCAUGGAGGCUGUGGAGAGAGGGCAACGCGCUGACGCUGCUAGACGAGGCGAUGGCCAGCGGCGGCGGCGGCCGGGAGUCGGAGGACGUGCUGCGGUGCGUGCAGGUCGGGCUGCUGUGCGUGCAGGAACGGCCGGAGGACCGACCGCACAUGGCCACGGUGUUCCUGAUGCUGGCCAACCUGAGCGUGGUGAUGCCACAGCCGAGGCACCCGGGCUACUGCAGCGACCGGGGAUCGACCUCCACCGACGGCGACUGCUCCUUGAGCUGCACCGCCAAUGAAAUCACCCUCACCGUCGUCGAGGGCCGGUGA